rnacentral:rRNA from 1 species
UACAGAGGAGCCAAGCGUUGUCCGGAUUGACUGGGCGUAAAGCGCACGCAGGCGGUUGCGCGCGUGGGGUGUGAAAUCUGGCCGCUUAACGGCCAGGCGCCAUCCCAUACGGCGCGACUGGAGCGAUGCAGAGGUCGGUGGAAUUGCCGGUGUAGUGGUGAAAUGCGUUGAUAUCAGGAGGAACACCCAUGGCGAAGGCAGCAAACUGGUCAUCAACUGACGCUGAGGCGCGAAAGCGUGGGUAGCAAACAGG